GACGAACGCUGGCGGCGUGCUUAACACAUGCAAGUCGAACGAGUGGCGAACGGGUGCGUAAUCCGUAGGUAAACUGCCCUCUAUUUGGGAUAAGCCACGGAAAAGGGGUCUAAUACCGAAUUAAGGGGGAUGGGAUCGCGGCCUAUCAGCUUGUUGGUGGGGUGAUGGCCUACCAAGGCGGUGACGGGUAGCCGGGCUGAGAGGGUGGCCCGCCACAUUGGGACUGUGGUCCCGCCCAUGCUCCUACGGGAGGCAGCCAUUGGGGAUUUUUCACAAUGGACGAAAGGCUGACGCGACAACGCCGCGGGAGGUAUGACGGCCUUCGGGUUGGAAAGCUCUUUUAAUCGGGACGCGGUACCUGAAUAGAAAGCCACGGCUAACUACGUGCCAGCCGCCGCGGUAAUUC
rnacentral:rRNA from 1 species